UACGGAGGAUGCGAGCGUUAUCCGGAUUUAUUGGGUUUAAAGGGUGCGUAGGCGGACUGUCAAGUCAGCGGUAAAAUUGAGAGGCUCAACCUCUUCCCGCCGUUGAAACUGGUGGUCUUGAGUGGAUGAGAAGUACGCGGAAUGCGUGGUGUUGCGGUGAAAUGCAUAGAUAUCACGCAGAACUCCGAUUGCGAAGGCAGCGUACCGGCAUCCAACUGACGCUGAGGCACGAAAGCGUGGGGAUCAAACAGG
rnacentral:rRNA from 1 species